rnacentral:rRNA from 1 species
UACAGAGGGUGCAAGCGUUAAUCGGAAUUAUUGGGCGUAAAGAGCUCGUAGGCGGUCUGUCACGUCGGCUGUGAAAACCCGAGGCUCAACCUCGGGCCUGCAGUCGAUACGGGCAGACUAGAGUUCGGUAGGGGAGACUGGAAUUCCUGGUGUAGCGGUGAAAUGCGCAGAUAUCAGGAGGAACACCGGUGGCGAAGGCGGGUCUCUGGGCCGAAACUGACGCUGAGGAGCGAAAGCGUGGGGAGCAAACAGGAUUAGAUACCCCAGUAGUCC